UACAGAGGGUGCAAGCGUUAGUCGGAGUUACUGGGCGUAAAGGGCGCGUAGGCGGUUAUUUAAGUGAGAUGUGAAAUCCCUGGGCUUAACCUAGGAACUGCAUCUCAUACUGAAUGACUAGAGUAUUGUAGAGGGUAGUGGAAUUUCCGGUGUAGCGGUGAAAUGCGUAGAGAUCGGAAGGAACACCAGUGGCGAGGGCGGCUACCUGGACAAAUACUGACGCUGAGGCGCGAAAGCGUGGGGAGCGAACAGG
rnacentral:rRNA from 1 species